rnacentral:tRNA from 1 species
GGCGGCAUGGCCAAGAGGUAAGGCAAAGGUCUGCAACACCUAUAUCCCCAGUUCGAGUCUGGGUGUCGCCUCCA